rnacentral:snRNA from 1 species
UUUUGUUAAAAAUGUAUGACUCU